rnacentral:rRNA from 1 species
GUGAACGCUGGCGGUAGGCCUAACCCAUUCCAGUCGAACGGCAUCACCCUUAUAUCUUGCUCUUUCGGGUUGCGAGUUGCUGACUGGUGCGGACUUCAUCCGUAUCUUCUUUUUUGUUUGGGCUUUCGUUGGGAUACUUACGCUCAUACCCCAUUCGACCUACGGGUUUAAUCAGUUGUUCUUUUUACCUUUUUCUUUUUUAUCAUCCGAUGUCGGAUUAGCUAGUUGGCGGGGUAAAGGCCCACCAAGGCGACGAUCCGUAGCUGGUCUGAGAGGAUGAUCAGCCACACUGGAACUGAGACACGGUCCAGACUCCUACGGGAGGCAGCAGUGGGGAAUAUUGGACAAUGGGCGCAGGCCUGAUCCAGCCAUACCGCGUGGGUGAAGAAGGCCUUCGGGUUGUAAAGCCCUUUUGUUGGGAAAGAAAAGCAGCAGGUUAAUACCCCGCUGUUCUGACGGUACCCAAAGAAUAAGCACCGGCUAACUUCGUG